UACGGAGGGUGCAAGCGUUAUCCGGAUUCACUGGGUUUAAAGGGUGCGUAGGUGGGCUGGUAAGUCAGUGGUGAAAUCUCCAGGCUUAACUUGGGAACUGCCAUUGAUACUAUCAGUCUUGAAUACCGUGGAGGUCAGCGGAAUAUGUCAUGUAGCGGUGAAAUGCUUAGAUAUGACAUAGAACACCAAUUGCGAAGGCAGCUGGCUACACGAAAUAUUGACACUGAUGCACGAAAGCGUGGGGAUCAAACAGG
rnacentral:rRNA from 1 species